rnacentral:rRNA from 11 species
UGCCUACGGCCAUACCACCCUGAACACGCCCGAUCUCGUCUGAUCUCGGAAGCUAAGCAGGGUCGGGCCUGGUUAGUACUUGGAUGGG